rnacentral:rRNA from 1 species
AAUACGAAGGGGGCUAGCGUUGCUCGGGAUCACUGGGCGUAAAGCGCACGUAGGCGGGUCCUUAAGUCGGGGGUGAAAUCCUGGAGCUCAACUCCAGAACUGCCUUCGAUACUGAGGAUCUCGAGUCCGGGAGAGGUGAGUGGAACUCCGAGUGUAGAGGUGAAAUUCGUAGAUAUUCGGAAGAACACCAGUGGCGAAGGCGGCUCACUGGCCCGGUACUGACGCUGAGGUGCGAAAGCGUGGGGAGCAAACAGG